rnacentral:rRNA from 1 species
AGAACGAACGCUGGCGGCAUGCCUAACACAUGCAAGUCGAACGAGACCUUCGGGUCUAGUGGCGCACGGGUGCGUAACGCGUGGGAAUCUGCCCUUGGGUUCGGAAUAACAGUUGGAAACGACUGCUAAUACCGGAUGAUGACGUAAGUCCAAAGAUUUAUCGCCCAGGGAUGGGCCCGCGUAGGAUUAGCUAGUUGGUGAGGUAAAGGCUCACCAAGGCGACGAUCCUUAGCUGGUCUGAGAGGAUGAUCAGCCACACUGGGACUGAGACACGGCCCAGACUCCUACGGGAGGCAGCAGUGGGGAAUAUUGGACAAUGGGCGAAAGCCUGAUCCAGCAAUGCCGCGUGAGUGAUGAAGGCCUUAGGUUGUAAAGCGUCUUUACCCGGGAUGAUAAUGACAGUACCGGAGAAUAAGCUCCGGCUAACUCCGCGCCAGCAGCCGC